GAUGAACGCUGGCGGCGUGCCUAAUACAUGCAAGUCGAGCGAACGGACGAGAAGCUUGCUUCUCUGAUGUUAGCGGCGGACGGGUGAGUAACACGUGGAUAACCUACCUAUAAGACUGGGAUAACUUCGGGAAACCGGAGCUAAUACCGGAUGAUAUUUUGAAUCGCAUGGUUCAAAAGUGAAAGACGGUCUUGCUGUCACUUAUAGAUGGAUCCGCGCUGCAUUAGCUAGUUGGUAAGGUAACGGCUUACCAAGGCAACGAUGCAUAGCCGACCUGAGAGGGUGAUCGGCCACACUGGAACUGAGACACGGUCCAGACUCCUACGGGAGGCAGCAGUAGGGAAUCUUCCGCAAUGGGCGAAAGCCUGACGGAGCAACGCCGCGUGAGUGAUGAAGGUCUUCGGAUCGUAAAACUCUGUUAUUAGGGAAGAACAUAUGUGUAAGUAACUGUGCACAUCUUGACGGUACCUAAUCAGAAAGCCACGACUAACUACGUG
rnacentral:rRNA from 1 species